UUCGCAAUGCCCGAAAGGGUGACGAAGCGACGCCGCGUGUGGGAAGAAGGCCUUCGGGUUGUAAACCACUGUCAGGAGUUAAGAAAUGCAAGGGUGUAAAUAGCAUCCUUGCUUGACUAAGGCUCCAGAGGAAGCCACGGCUAACUCUGUGCCAGCAGCCGCGGUAAUACAGAGGUGGCAAGCGUUGUUCGGAAUUAUUGGGCGUAAAGAGCACGUAGGCGGCUCUGCAAGUCAGCUGUGAAAGCCUUCUGCUUAACGGAAGAACAGCAGUUGAUACUACAGAGCUCGAGUGCGGGAGGGGAGAGUGGAACUUCUGGUGGAGCGGUGAGAUGCGUAGAUAUCAGAAGGAACGCCGGCGGCGAAAGCGACUCUCUGGCCCGUAACUGACGCUGAGUGUGCGAAAGCUAGGGGAGCAAACGGGAUUAGAUACCCCGGUAGCCCUAGCCGUAAACGAUGGGCACUAAGUAGAGGGGUUUU
rnacentral:rRNA from 1 species